GAAAGUGUGGCAUAGUGGUUUGAGCGUUGGACUGUGAAUCCAGAAACCAGGGUUCAAUUCCCAGCUUGGCCA